UCUGGCAAGAGGGGUCCUGGCGGCAUGCUGGGCCCCCCCGCAGCUCUGUGCCACAGGGAGGCCCGGCCCAACAGCGUGCCCUCCAACUGGUCACACGCAGCACUGGCCCGCUGAGAUGCAGAGCGACUGGGAGGCGGCAAGGGGCCGCAUUCCGGCACCCGCCAUUUUCUGUAUCAGUCCCUGCCUCCAAAUCUCCUGGUCCUGCUGGGGGAACUACAUCUAUUCUCAAGUAAAUAGACUACAGGAUCUGCAGAACCUGGCCACCAUCUCUGGGGCACCCUUCAUGUAGACGUGGAAGUGGUCCUCCCCGGCCAGCUGAGCGAUCACGGACAUCCUCUGCAGGCUGGAGGAAAAUGGAAACUGGUGCAAGAUGGUGAUGGCUUCCACAGGACUCUGCAAGUGCACCAACAAAAGGGAGACUAAAAAGCUUUUAAGUGGUAUUUAGCAGACACAUCCCAACACAAAGGGCUGGCUCUGCAGUGAGCUCAGUGACAUCAUGAAGUAGCGUGUUUGUCACAAUAUUGAUACUGUCCUGGUUUGCCUAAAGCAACUCCCUCAACAAGUUGUCUAGUUCUUCAAGGCCCUUGCCCUCGGCUGCCUGGAGAAAUCCUAGUCACCUUCCAGGCCAAGCACACAGGUCACCUCCUUUGUGGUGCUUCCCCAUCCCAGAAACAGUAUUCACUCCCACCUUUGGGCUCCCAGAGCUAUUUGUUCAGCCUUUAUUGUAGCAUUUAGCACAUUGUAUUGCACUUAUUUGCACGCAUAUUGAUUUUUCUGCCAGUCUGUGUUCCUCCAACACAGAGCCCAGCAUGUCUACUUUCGAAACCUCUUUAUCCACUCACACCCAGCACAACGCUCUCACAUACACAGGUACUUCAGCGAGUGAGUGAAAAAUAAACCUAAUGGACGAAUUUAAGGAUGAAGGAAUGAGCAAACCAAUUAUGGAAACUGUUAGGAUAAGACAAAAUAAUAUGAAUAUAAACAUAUGUGAUAGUCAGAAAGUUUCACCAAUAUUAAAGGGGAAAGAGCUGUAUGAUUUAAA